rnacentral:misc_RNA from 1 species
AAAAAUACACAUCCAUCCUUCUAAUCCGUAAUGAUCUAGGUUUUUAACAAAAAUAAAACAUAUGAAUAAAAAAAGAAAACUUUCGAUUAAAUAAAUCAAAACAAUCAAAAUUUUAAAAAAUAAAAAAUAAAAAAAAUAUAAAAAGCAAUUUGCAAAGCACAAAUCCAUAAUUGUAUACUGCCAGCUUAUAAAAGCAAAGCAGUAGUAAUGCCCAAGACUCAUUAACAUGGUCUAGAGCCCAUGUGAUGCAGUCAAGGAAGAUUCCAUUUAGGAAUUCUGUUGAUUUAAUUUUUCAUUGUAAUAACUUCUAUCAUUUAGGAAUUCUAUAAUUAUUUAGGAAUAUUUAAAGAGUCCUAUUCGGUUUAGUAUUUUCCCAGUCAGUUUUGGCUAUUGUUUUAGCAUUUUCUUAUUUUGGAAUUCCUAAUCCUAGUACCUAUGUAGCACGGACGGAAAUGCAGACACAUGUAAACAUAGAAGCAGACACUGAGAAAUGACAUUUUAGAAAAUAUAGGAAUCAAAAUCGUGGGAAAACGCGUAAAUAUAAAUAUAGUGAUAUUUAACUCAAUAAUAUUAGUAUUAUAGUCAUUUUUAUAACUGAUAUCUUGAAUUGUAGAUCAAAAACUUAAAUCAUUGACAUUAAUAGUAAUAUAAAUAUUAAAAAUAAUGCUCUCACCAAAUAAAAUAUUUUAUUUAAUAAAAAUAAAUUUUAUUCUUGUAAUUAUUAGAAUUUGACUACAUUAUGAAGUAAUUUAAGAAUAAUAAUCAAAGGCAAAACAGAGCAUGGGAACUCGGGAGAUUAAAGGGAUCAUUGGAUCCGCUUACCUGCGAUGCUGAUCCCGUAUCAUCGUCGCCAAGUAAGUCCUUCUCCUCUUCUUCUUCUUUUUGCGAUGUGGUGCUGAUCAGUGCUCUCACUUCUCUAUUUGCAUAAGCCAUUUGUGGUGCAGUGAGCUACAGCUGCUGUAGUAUAAGAAUGACAUUUUCUCAUUCUGGCGUAUGCUACAGGCACACAAACUUACUUGUGUCUGAAUAUUGUACCGCUUUAUGUUAGGCUUUUUGCAAUGGCAAUUUUGUUAGGAUAUCAAAUAUACUUUAUUGGUGUGUUAUGUCUUCGCUUUAGUGCCAACCUGUUGAAAGUUUUUGACAUGAAAAAUGAGUUUGAAACAAGACUGGUUGGGUUAGCCGAAAAUUGACUAAUUUCCUGCAAUCUCUGUGUAAGCUAAGAGACAUAUGCUUCUUAUUUAUUUGUUUUUUCUGACUUAUUAUUAUUAUUAUUUAAAAAGGAAUGAUUUGGUGGUCAUGAGAAUUCAGAAAGAAUGGAGUGAGAGCCUGGAGCCCAAGAAAAGCUCUUAAAAUUUAAUGCUGGAGUAACAAUAGUUUGAUAACAUGGAAUUAUCUUCCUGCUUUCUACCGCUUCUCAGCAAUCCAUCAAAGUGAAAAGAUUUUGAAUAAUAUUCCCCAGAUAUAGCUAGCCAUUGAAAUGCAAUGCAUCUUUUUUGUAUGAGGAAUUGAAUGAUUGCGAUGGGAGAAAAGUUGAAUUAGACAAUUAUUAGCAUGCGCCGUAUACAGCUUUACAAUGACGACAACAACAACAAUUAAGCCUUAAUC